AGGCGCGGAUCUUCAGAGAUUAGAGUUUGAUCAUGGCUCAGGAUGAACGCUGGCGGCGUGCCUAAUACAUGCAAGUCGAGCGGUAAGGCUCCUCCAGGCUAUUUAAACGAAAAAGUUUGAAUGGUGUGGUGGAGUACACGAGCGGCGGACGGCUGAGUAACACGUAGGAACGUACCCCAAACUGAGGGAUAACUGCUCGAAAGAGUAGCUAAUACCGCAUGUGAUCUUCGGAUUAAAGCUUCGGCGGUUUGGGAACGGCCUGCGCAUGAUUAGCUUGUUGGUGAGGUAAUGGCUCACCAAGGCGACGAUCAUUAGCUGGUCUGAGAGGAUGAUCAGCCAGACUGGGACUGAGAACGGCCCAGACUCCUACGGGAGGCAGCAGUAGGGAAUUUUCCACAAUGGGCGAAAGCCUGAUGGAGCAACGCCGCGUGCAGGAUGAAUGCCUUCGGGUUGUAAACUGCUUUUAUCUGUGAAGAUUAUGACGGUAGCAGAUGAAUAAGGAUCGGCUAACUCCGUGCCAGCAGCCGCGGUCAUACGGAGGAUCCAAGCGUUAUCCGGAAUUACUGGGCGUAAAGAGUUGCGUAGGCGGCAUUGUAAGCAGGUAGUGAAAGCGUGUGGCUCAACCAUACUCACAUUACCUGAACUGCAAAGCUAGAGGACAAGAGAGGUCACUGGAAUUCCUAGUGUAGGAGUGAAAUCCGUAGAUAUUAGGAGGAACACCGAUGGCGUAGGCAGGUGACUGGCUUGUUCCUGACGCUCAGGCACGAAAGCGUGGGUAGCAAACGGGAUUAGAUACCCCGGUAGUCCACGCCGUAAACGAUGGAUGCUAGCUGUAUUCGGUAUCGACCCCGGAUGUAGCGAAGCUAACGCGUUAAGCAUCCCGCCUGUGGAGUACGGUCGCAAGACUAAAACAUAAAGGAAUUGACGGGGACCCGCACAAGCGGUGGAGCGUGUUGUUUAAUUCGAUGGUAAACGAAGAACCUUACCCAGGCUUGACAUCCAUGGAUUUCUCGAAAGGAGAGAGUGCUUUAUUGACCAUGUGACAGUGUGCAUGUCGUCGUCAGCUCGUGUCGUGAGAUGUUUGGUAGUCAUCACGAGCGCACCCUAUU
rnacentral:rRNA from 1 species